rnacentral:rRNA from 1 species
UACGGAGGGUGCGAGCGUUGUCCGGAAUCAUUGGGCGUAAAGGGCGCGUAGGUGGCCUGCUAAGCGUGCGGUGAAAGUCGGGGGCUCAACCCCCGAUCGGCCGUGCGAACUGGGAGGCUUGAGCACUGUAGAGGCAGGCGGAAUUCCGGGUGUAGCGGUGAAAUUCGUAGAUAUUCGCAAGAACACCAGUGGCGAAGGCGGCUCACUGGCCCGAUACUGACGCUGAGGCACGAAAGCGUGGGGAGCAAACAGG